GACGAACGCUGGCGGCGCGCUUAACACAUGCAAGUCGAGCGAAGCGGCGGACGGGUGAGUAACACGUGAGUAACCUGCCUUAGACAUUGGGAUAGCCUCGGGAAACCGGGAUUAAUACCAAAUGGUCUAAGAUGGACUCGCGUCCCAUUAGCUAGUUGGUGAGGUAACGGCCCACCAAGGCGACGAUGGGUAGCCGGCCUGAGAGGGUGAGCGGCUACAUUGGAACGGAGAAACGGGCCAAACUCUACGGGAGGCGGCAGAGGGGAAUAUUGCAACGUGGAGGGAAUUAUGAUGCAGCUACGCGGGGUGAGCGAAGAAGGCUGUCGAGUCGUAGAGUGCUUUUAUAUGGGAAGCGGUACCAUAAGAAAAAGCCCCGGCUAACUACGUGCCAGCCGCCGCGGUAAUAC
rnacentral:rRNA from 1 species